UAGUUGGUGAGGUAAUGGCUCACCAAGACAAUGACGCCUAACUGGUUUGAGAGGAUGAUCAGUCACACUGGAACUGAGACACGGUCCAGACUCCUACGGGAGGCAGCAGUGGGGAAUAUUGCACAAUGGGGGAAACCCUGAUGCAGCAACGCCGCGUGGAGGAUGACACAUUUCGGUGCGUAAACUCCUUUUAUAUAGGAAGAUAAUGACGGUACUAUAUGAAUAAGCACCGGCUAACUCCGUGCCAGCAGCCGCGGUAAUACGGAGGGUGCAAGCGUUACUCGGAAUCACUGGGCGUAAAGAGCGUGUAGGCGGAUAAUUAAGUCAGGAGUGAAAUCCUAUAGCUCAACUAUAGAACUGCUCUUUGAAACUGAUAAUCUAGAAUAUGGGGAGAGGUAGAUGGAAUUUCUGGUGUAGGGGUAAAAUCCGUAGAGAUCAGAAGGAAUACCGAUUGCGAAGGCGAUCUACUGGAACAUUAUUGACGCUGAGACGCGAAAGCGUGGGGAGCAAACAGGAUUAGAUACCCUGGUAGUCCACGCCCUAAACGAUGUACACUAGUUGUUGUGAGGCUAGACCUUGCAGUAAUGCAGUUAACACAUUAAGUGUACCGCCUGGGGAGUACGGUCGCAAGAUUAAAACUCAAAGGAAUAGACGGGGACCCGCACAAGCGGUGGAGCAUGUGGUUUAAUUCGACGAUACGCGAAGAACCUUACCUGGACUUGACAUAGUAAGAAUAUUUAAGAGAUUAGAUAGUGUCUGCUUGCAGAAACUUGCAUACAGGUGCUGCACGGCUGUCGUCAGCUCGUGUCGUGAGAUGUUGGGUUAAGUCCCGCAACGAGCGCAACCCUCGUCGUUAGUUGCUAACAGUUCGGCUGAGAACUCUAACGAGACUGCCUGGGUAACCAGGAGGAAGGUGAGGACGACGUCAAGUCAUCAUGGCCCUUACGUCCAGGGCUACACACGUGCUACAAUGGGGUAUACAAAGAGCAGCGAUACGGUGACGUGGAGCAAAUCUUAAAAAUACCUCCCAGUUCGGAUAGUAGUCUGCAACUCGACUACUUGAAGUUGGAAUCGCUAGUAAUCGUAGAUCAGCAAUGCUACGGUGAAUACGUUCCCGGGUCUUGUACUCACCGCCCGUCACACCAUGGGAGUUGAACUCAUUCGAAGCGGGGAUGCUAAGAUAGCUACCCUCCACAGUGGAUUCAGCGACUGGGGUG
rnacentral:rRNA from 1 species